rnacentral:lncRNA from 1 species
GCUGAUCGAAGACACUAUUCUUUGAAUAUUAUGGAUUUGGGAAGAGCUGCACAGAAGGUUUCUGUGAUGAAGUCCUUCAAACUUCAGGUCCUCCUCAUCACUCUUCUCAUGUAUGGUGAGUAAAUGCCCACCUUAGUUUAUGUCAAAUGUGAGUUAACGCAACUCACAUUCUCCAAAAUGAAAAAGUAACUUACGCUUAAAGUUUAUUGUAAAACAAUCUUCAGAAAACCAGAAAUAUGUUACAAAUAAAUUGCUCUGAAGGAAAGAACAGAUAAAACAGCUCUAUACAUAAAUGUAAGCAUACAAUAUUUCUUAACUCAUAUUUUCUCAAAUGAUUGUAUUUGAGCCUUCGUACAGGUGAGAAGACUUUCAAGGAUCCACUUUGUAGGUAAUGAGACCUUUUGGAACGUUUGGACUGAAAUAGGUGGUAUAGAUAAGGAAUAUCUGAAAGGACUCGGAUCAUUUCAAUUCUUUGGUUUGAUGUCUUUUUCUUUUGUGUUUCCCCUCAAUUCUGAAUUCUGAAAAAAUCAACUGAAUUAAAGUGUUACUGGUUUAAUA